UACAGAGGGGGCAAGCGUUGUUCGGAAUUACUGGGCGUAAAGGGCGCGUAGGCGGCCCGCUAAGUCGAACGUGAAAUCCCCGAGCUCAACUCGGGAACUGCGUCCGAUACUGGCGGGCUUGAAUCCGGGAGAGGGAUGCGGAAUUCCAGGUGUAGCGGUGAAAUGCGUAGAUAUGCGGAGGAACACCGAUGGCGAAGGCAAUCCCCUGGGCCUGCACUGACGCUCAUGCACGAAAGCGUGGGGAGCAAACAGG
rnacentral:rRNA from 1 species